rnacentral:misc_RNA from 1 species
GGCGUUGCGCGGCGUUCGCCGAGCUUGAAGUGGCUUGAAGUCAGAUAUUUGCGUAACCUGAAAACGUAGCUAAGCACAAUAAGUAUUGUUUGAUAAUGCUAUUGUGUAUUCGUGACGAUGUAUUUUCUUAAUCGCUUACAGAUCGGCUCUUUGUUGAAUGCUGCGCGUACUUCUGCGCUCUCAUUUCAAAGAGCAUUCGAGAGCAGUCGCAUCAGUCGGACUAAGAUGUCUAGCACCGGCCUGCCACAUUUCUCCGUCGGAAAGAUAGUCAAGGGGUUUGGACGCGGAUCCAAGGAACUGGGCAUUCCGACUGCAAAUUUCCCAACCGAAGUUGUACAGAAUCUACCCCCCGAGAUCGGUACUGGUAUUUAUUAUGGAUGGGCAUCCGUCGACAGAGGGGAUGUACAUAAGAUGGUAAUGAGCAUAGGGUGGAACCCAUUUUUCCAAAAUACUCAGAAGUCGAUGAUGUUUUUUGCCAGGAAACGCACAUAAUCCAUAAAUAUCCUGGGGAUUUGUAUGGAUUGGAGUUGCGGGUUGUGAUACUCGGGUUUUUGAGGCCUGAAGCAGACUUUACUUCCAUCGAGGAUCUUAUAGCUGAAAUAAAAGGAGAUAUCGAAAAUGC